CUGUAAAAGAGCCCCUUAAAAGCAAAAAAUAAUAAAACAAAAGACCUAUCAGUACAUUUUUCCUUUCAUUUUUCAUGAUCCAUUAGCAAACCUCUAAAAUAUCUGCUUUCAAAUAAAUUACAGAACCAACACAGAAAUGCAGUCACUCCUCUGGCCGAAAGAAAGUAUAAGUUGAACUGGUCUCUGUCUUUGUGACCUCAGAAUUACGAGAAAGUCCAGUGGGAAGAACAGGAACAAGAGAUGUCCAAAGGAUGGGGUCUACUAAGGGAUCAACGGUAUUGUAGUUGGUUAGAAGUGGAGCAGACAAGAAAGGAGUCAGUUGGUAGACAUUUCUCUGAAGAGACAACCCCCCACUCAUUCCUAAUGCAGCCCCAAGUCUUUCAUUACUGCCAUCAUGAGUUGUGGGCUUCUCCACUGCUUUACCAUAGUCCGUCUUAUUGGUAUUUUUGUUUUCAUUUUCAUCAUUAUCAGUAUUAUUUUCUUGCUUUUUUGAAGCCUUCUCUUGCAAGUUCUUGUAUGCAGCUGAUUGUGACAAAAUGCUCAAGGCAGAGAUUGCGGAGCCUUUAUGCUUUUUUCCAUCAACAGGCAUGCCCAAACGAGGCAUCUGGUAAGGCUCAGUAGGCUGGAUGGCAC
rnacentral:misc_RNA from 1 species